CUGCUCCUGCUGCUUUGCCGGGGGCAGAGCCGUCCCCGUGCAGCGUGAUCCCGGCACCCGCGGAGCAUCCAGCAGCUGCCGGGCACUUGCAGCCCUCUCAGGAGUUGUCUUCUUUCUCUCCAGGCGGCUGACUACUGUUGUUUCAAGGGUACCGUUUCCCAUCUCAUCACAGAAACACUGUACCUUCCUGGAGUAUGGAAUCUGUAUGGCAGCGAAGGUGGUAUCUUCAGCUGGGCUGUAUAUUGAUACUGAAUUUGGUUUAUGCCAAUCUAGACUAUCAGAAAGAAACUCCUCCAAGCCUGGGUCAGAUUGACCAUCAGUGCUGGGAGGUGUCAUCCCAUGGGCUGGUGGAAAUGAAGAAACUCAAGGUCGCAGACACGGUUAUUGCUCUCUGGGACUUCAUGAUGUUCCUAAAGGAAUCCCCUAAGCCCAAGCACAACGAACUCUUCAAUCAUUUAGCCCAGAACUUCUGGGAUAUGUAUGUAGACUGCGUGCUCUCAAGAUCCCAUGGAAUGGGCAGAAGACAAUUAAUGUCUCCCAAAUACUCUUCCACAUACUCACAUAGAACUUUAGAAGGGUCCGCUUUCACCAACCCAUUUUAGGCCAAAAGGGGAGAAAAUGAAGAUACCUCAGCAAGGCAACAUCAAAACGAAGGAACACAAAAGCACAGCCUAUACUGUAGACGCUUAGACAAAUCCAUAGCAUGGUUCAACCUGUUUUUUUUUCCUCUGUAUAAAGUACUUUAAUCACUGCUAAACUGAUAAGUGCAUGAACUCCCACGUUGUCACUUUUGCUUUCCUGUCUUGCAAACUCCCAGGGUUGCCUUUUUCCCACUGCAUGUGUGAAUGCUUUUAUGUUUACCUUUGUUCUCUCAGGUAAGCUUGUAA